UACGUAGGGGGCAAGCGUUGUCCGGAUUUAUUGGGCGUAAAGCGCGUGUAGGCGGCCCGGUAAGUCCGCUGUGAAAGUCGGGGGCUCAACCCUCGGAUGCCGGUGGAUACUGUCGGGCUAGAGUCCGGAAGAGGCGAGUGGAAUUCCUGGUGUAGCGGUGGAAUGCGCAGAUAUCAGGAGGAACACCGAUAGCGAAGGCAGCUCGCUGGGACGGUACUGACGCUGAGGUGCGAAAGCGUGGGGAGCGAACAGG
rnacentral:rRNA from 1 species